GAAUCCAUGAGUCACUCUUCCAUUCCCUCCUUCUCCAGAGCAGGCAGAUCUUAUUGGAACGUCCCCCGCUGCCCAGAUUGUGACGUCACGGGGAGGAAUCAAUCGCAAGGCCAGAACUGCCCAGGGCCCUCCUAGCUUUGGAAGGGAGGUUUGCUAAAGCCAGCGAGGGAUGGAUGCUAUUGUCGUCGUCCGGCCAGGUAAAGUGUCAGGUAUCGCCCCGGCUCUACUGAUAGUAGAAGCUAGCCGGCAGCAACAGCCCAUGUGGGAGUUUGGGAUGCCAGCCCUGCUUCAUACAGAGGAGCCUCAAAAUCUAAUAAUCCAAAGUGGCUACCCAGACAGCAAGUAGAAGAAGCUAUUGGAGUAAAUGGAGUGGACAUUUCUCUAAGGUUCCACAUAAUCUGUCCCAUCUAAUGCAAAUUGUUGUCAAGCAUCUCACCUGUAGGACAUAAGCAGAGCCGCUGAGUGGGAGGAGAUGAAAUGAUACAAUUCUGGAUACAAUCAGAAGAGCACACCUAUAUGUUAUUUGGACAGUUUUGGCUAUCAAAAGGAGACUUAUCUAUGUUCAAGGUUAAGUUAGUGGAGAACAUACCCAGCAGAAUAGAGCUAUUUUGCUAGAAAACAAAGCAAAGCAAGAAAACUAAUUGGAGCCCCCUUCUGGGGGGAACACAAGCCAACCAAAUUAAGGGGCAAAUAAGGAGCAAUUUGCCAGUAAUUCCUCCCGCUGCCGAACAGGAAACAUUAACAAGCAGAAUUUUCAAGGAAGAAACUUUUAAUUAGAAUUGCAGGGGACCUUUACUGAACAGUACUUACUCUGAAAUAAACAUGACAGAAGGAUA